UACGGAGGGUGCAAGCGUUGUCCGGAUUUAUUGGGUGUAAAGGGCGUGUAGGCGGAGAAAUAUGUCGGGAGUGAAAUCGUGCGGCUUAACCGUAUCAAUUGCUUCCGAAACUGUUUCCCUUGAGUACAAGAGGGGCAGAUGGAAUUCCUGGUGUAGCGGUGGAAUGCGUAGAUAUCAGGAAGAACACCAUUGGCGAAGGCGGUCUGCUGGCUUGUAACUGACGCUGAGGCGCGAAAGUGUGGGGAGCAAACAGG
rnacentral:rRNA from 1 species